rnacentral:rRNA from 1 species
AACGAACGCUGGCGGCGUGGUUUAGGCAUGCAAGUCGAGCGAGAAAGUCCUGGACGAGUACAGCGGCGAAAGGGUAGAGUAAUAUAUAGGUAACCUACCUCUUGGACUCGGAUAAUUCCUGGAAACGGGUUGUAAUACGAGAUCGUCCUAUUGGGUCGCAUGGCCCGACUGGUAAAUGGUAGCUCUGCUUCUGCCGAGAGAGGGGCCUAUAUCCUAUUAGCUAGUUGGUGAGGUAAUGGCUCACCAAGGCUUUGAUGGGUAGCCGGACUGAGAGGUUGGCCGGUCACACUGGGACUGAGACACUGCCCAGACUCCUACGGGAGGCUGCAGUCGAGAAUCUUCCCGCAAUGGGCGAAAGCCUGACGGGGCGACGCCGCGUGAACGAAGAAGGCCUC